rnacentral:rRNA from 1 species
UUAGUGGCGGACGGGUGAGUAACGCGUGGAUAACCUGCCGUAUACCGGGGGAGUAACACUUAGAAAUAGGUGCUAAUACCGCAUAAGCGCACGGCUCCGCAUGGGGCAGUGUGAAAAAUUCCGGUGGUAUACGAUGGAUCCGCGUCUGAUUAGCUAGUUGGCGGGGUAACGGCCCACCAAGGCAGCGAUCAGUAGCCGGCCUGAGAGGGUGGACGGCCACAUUGGGACUGAGACACGGCCCAAACUCCUACGGAAGGCAGCAG